GUUGCAAGAAAAUUACUCUAACACAACAAGUAAAAAAAAGCUUUUAGAAUACAUACUAUUCUUAUAAUUUAUAUCAUUAUUCGAAUUGCUCCAUUAAUAUUAUCCAGCACUAUGAAGCUUAUCUGCAUUUUAAUAACGCUUGUAAACGUUUUGCCAAUAAUGACAGGGAAUAUGCAAAUUUGGUUUACAUUACAAGUCUGUACCAGUUUUUCAUACGAUAAAACAUUUUAUUUCAAUUUCAUCAUUUUUUAUACUUAUAUUGAAAAUAAUUUACUACAGACAGACACAUCAAAGAGGCUUUUGAUACAGAUCCUGCUGGAUUGAAGACUGCAAUUUCAAAUAUUAUCAAUGGCGAUAAAACGAUGGAUGUGAUAAGUUUGAUGUUGGCUGUAACGGAUAAAGCAAAUAUUUUCAAAAUUAAUCAUGACAAACCGUUUAUUAUCAACUUACCAG